UGGUACCUACGGGACGCAGCAGUGGGGAAUAUUGCACAAUGGGGGGAACCCUGAUGCAGCGACGCCGCGUGGGUGAGGAAGUACUUCGGUAUGUAAAGCCCUAUCAGCAGGGAAGAAAAUGACGGUACCUGACUAAGAAGCCCCGGCUAACUACGUGCCAGCAGCCGCGGUAAUACGUAGGGGGCACGCGUUAUCCGGAUUUACUGGGUGUAAAGGGAGCGUAGACGGCGUGCCAAGUCUGGUGUGAAAGGCCGGGGCUCAACCCCGGGACUGCAUUGGAAAC
rnacentral:rRNA from 1 species